UCUUGUGAUGGUUUCUAUCAUGGUUCAGAAAAAAAAAACUUAAGGGAAAAUGACCUCUAACUAGACUCCUUAAUAGAUGGUCUCGGUUCAAUUCACGAUUUGAACCGGACAUUGCAGCUCUGCCACGAGCUGUUGCACAUUAAUACCCAGUAGUUGAAUUACACAAUGAAAUAUUCAUAACGUGGGCUAUGUGUGUUCCCUAGCAGCCUCACAUCAGCCAACUUCCUCCUGUUGAGGACUGGAAAAUAAGGAUACCUUGCUUGACCAUUUGUAGAUUUACAUGUACUUAUGCACAAUCGAGAGUUCCUGCUGCCAGAUCUCUGCUCCGCUCAAGUAAAAUCACGGGCUCUGACCCUUCUGGGUUCCAAAUGCCAUAGUUCCAACUCACAAGAAACAAGACAAAAAGGUUACAUCACAGCACAGCAGCCCACAGAUUAGACUCCAACAGUACUACUGCCUGAAGCAGAACUCUCGCCACUAGC
rnacentral:lncRNA from 1 species